GUUGUGUUUUUGAAGAAGUAAGUUUAAAGUAAGUUUUAAUUAUUGCAGGGCUGUGAAACGGCUGCACACAUUGUCAUGACGCUUAUUGGUGCGUUUAUAUUAUGUGUCCUGUUCGAAUCUCCUAUUCACAACAUCGAAAAACUUCUAUUGAGGAAGUCAGGUGCAAGAAAAAGUCCUACUACAUAUUCUGACUCCAAAGAUGUGGACAACACAAAAACCGAUACACGAUAACGGUAAGAACAGUAAUAUCUAAGUAGUUAAUUGAAAGUAGAAAGGAAUAAAUUGUGUAUAAAUAAUUGCAACCUCAAGAAAACAUUUAAAAACAAUUUAUUACAAAAAAGAAAACAAUAAAUACACGCAGUAUAGCGGCCAACGUGA